UUUUCUUUGAAUAUAAUUUAA
rnacentral:snRNA from 1 species